rnacentral:rRNA from 1 species
UGCAGUCGAACGGCAGCGCGGGGCAACCUGGCGGCGAGUGGCGAACGGGUGAGUAAUAUAUCGGAACGUGCCCUGGAGUGGGGGAUAACGCAGCGAAAGUUGCGCUAAUACCGCAUACGAUCUGAGGAUGAAAGCGGGGGAUUCGCAAGAACCUCGUGCUCCUGGAGCGGCCGAUAUCUGAUUAGCUAGUUGGUGGGGUAAAGGCCUACCAAGGCAUCGAUCAGUAGCUGGUCUGAGAGGACGACCAGCCACACUGGAACUGAGACACGGUCCAGACUCCUACGGGAGGCAGCAGUGGGGAAUUUUGGACAAUGGGCGAAAGCCUGAUCCAGCAAUGCCGCGUGAGUGAAGAAGGCCUUCGGGUUGUAAAGCUCUUUUGUCAGGGAAAAGACGGUGCGGGCUAAUAUCCUGCACUAAUGACGGUACCUGAAGAAUAAGCACCGGCUAACUACGUGCCAGCAGCCGCGGUAAUACGUAGGGUGCAAGCGUUAAUCGGAAUUACUGGGCGUAAAGCGUGCGCAGGCGGUUUUGUAAGUCUGUCGUGAAAUCCCCGGGCUCAACCUGGGAAUUGCGAUGGAGACUGCAAGGCUAGAAUCUGGCAGAGGGGGGUAGAAUUCCACGUGUAGCAGUGAAAUGCGUAGAGAUGUGGAGGAACACCGAUGGCGAAGGCAGCCCCCUGGGUCAAGAUUGACGCUCAUGCACGAAAGCG